AUGAACCAAACGAGCCCUAAAGAAUAAAACCCAAAUUGAACAGCUCGAACCCAGCUAUCUCGGGCCAUUUUCGGCUAUGUGUCAAUGUGUUUUCUGCUUCCUCAGACUUGGCUUGGCCAAAAAUGGCAACCAUUAAUAGCGUUUUGUUUUCUUCUUCAAUGCAAACGAUAAAAAUACUCCUUUUCAUUUUUUGUUUAUCAAUUUUUUGGCUUUACUUCUAAAGGAUGAUUUGGAUUUCAAAAGUUUUUGAACAAUUUUCGGAUUUGAAAGUGUCCCACAUCGUUAGUUUUUACUAAAACCUAGGUUUUUGGGGUUCUAUUUAUAUAACCCCAUUUCUUCAUUCUCAACCAUGGUUCAGAGGACAAAUUUGGUAUUUUAUACCUCCAUCGGGUUUUUAUACCUUUAAGAGUGAGAACACUCAGAAACCUGGCUAAGCCGUGAGCUUCAAGGAAGUUUUCGCUCAUAGUUUGAUUUUUGGAAGUCGUUCCGAUUCAUCGGAAUAGUCAUCGUGGUGAAAAACUAAGGUGAUCAGCUCAAUUCUAGUCGCCCCCAUCGCUGUUCGACAAAAGGCCAAUGAAAAUUUAUUUUUGAGGCCAUUUCUUGUCCAGAAAGGUAAUCCCUCGGUUUAGGAAAGGAUGAUCUCACAUUGAUAUCACGAGGUAGUAGCCAACAUGCUCUUGGAAAGGCAACUAGAAUGGCCCCCCUAGUUUGCAGCCGCGACAUGAUUCGGGUUCCUUUUCCAUAUUCGGAACCGUGAGUCUGAGCCUCCAUAAUUAAAGCUCUCAAAGUUUGAUAUGAGUCCGAGGGAUAUUAUUAUUUAUGUUCCUAAAUGUCACCCUACGGGGUGACAUAUCAUUUUGACUAACUAUUUUCCUUUUCAAUGUGCGAGGUACCAAUAAAACAAGCACGGAAAGCAAAGCUUAAGGAUAAAGUAAAAGGAUCGGAUGCUUAGAGCUUCGGACGCAGACUAGAAGAGUACGGGAUUUGGGCCCAAGGCUGACAAAGCUAAACUUUCUUCCCUUCUUUAUUCUUGUAUAAAACAUGCUUAUUUUAUAUGUUUACAUUCACUUUGUAUGAACAUGGUCUUUGUUGUAAAUAUUUAUAUAGAUAUUGAAACCCUUAUAAGUUGGAACCUCGAAUUCAGGUAGACGAUAUUUCAAAUUAUACUCGAACGAUAAAAGAGUUGUAUUCCAUUUGAUUAAAGUAAUUAAAAGUGAAAGAAUGUUUUCUUGUACAAAAA